UACAGAGGGCGCGAGCGUUGUCCGGAAUCACUGGGCGUAAAGGGCGCGUAGGUGGCCAGCAUAAGGCCGUGGUGAAAGUCCGGAGCCCAACUCCGGAUCUGCCGCGGCGACUGUGCGGCUUGGGCACUGUAGAGGCAGAUGGAAUUCCGGGUGUAGCGGUGGAAUGCGUAGAGAUCCGGAGGAAUACCGGUGGCGAAGGCGGCAUCCUGGACCGACAUUGACGCUGAGGAGCGAAAGCUAGGGGAGCAAACGGG
rnacentral:rRNA from 1 species